rnacentral:misc_RNA from 1 species
UCCCCCUAAACAUGGGAUUGGCAAUUCCGCCUAGAUCCAACACAUCAAGAAGAUUGACAGGGUUCAGUCCACUCCUUUCUGCCAGCACCAGUCCCUCAGAAAAUGCAUUCAUCAUACUGCCCAUUAUCAUGUUGACCACAAGUUUCAUUUUUGCUCCAUUUCCAAUCUCCCCCAAGAAGAAAGACUUUUUCCCCAUAACAUCAAAAGCUGGAAUUGCCAAAUCAUAUAGUGCCUUAUCUCCAGCAGCAAGGAUUACUAAUUGACCAGCUUCUGCAGGUUGCUUGCUACCUGAAACAGGAGCUUCAAGGAAAGAACCACCCUUUGCCGUAAUUGCCUUGCUGAUGUUGGUGGAAGUUUCAGGAUCAACAGUUGACAUGUCAAUAUAACCUUUUCCAUUGCAAAUUUCUUCAAGAACUCCAUCUUCGUCAAAAACCACCGAAAGAGUGGCAGCAGGAUCAGAUAAUAUAGCAAUGGUAAGCUCACACUUCUUGACCACAGCUGCAGGAGUUUCUCCAAUUGAUGCGCCUAACUCCACCAGUUCAUUACACUUGGAGAGUGUCCUGUUCCAAACAGUGACCUUGAAGCCACUCUUAAUCAAAUUGGUGGCCAUGGCCUUUCCCAUUAUCCCCAGACCCAAGAACCCUACUUCCAUUUUCUCUUCUCUUCUCCUCUUCUCUUCUCUUCUUCGUGUCUGCAAUCUCCUUCACAGAGAC